GAUGAACGCUAGCGGCAGGCUUAAUACAUGCAAGUCGUGGGGCAGCAGGACUGUAGCAAUACAGUUGCUGGCGACCGGCAAACGGGUGCGGAACACGUACGCAACUUACCCUGAACUGGGGGAUAGCCCGGGGAAACCCGGAUUAAUACCCCGUAAUAUAAUGGAGUGGCAUCACUUUAUUAUUAAAGCUCCGGCGGUUCGGGCUGGGCGUUCGGCUGAUUAGGUAGUUGGUUGAGGUAACGGCUCACCAAGCCUACGAUCAGUAACUGGUGUGAGAGCACGACAAGUCACAGGGGAAAUGAGACACGGGCCCGACUCCUACGGGAGGCAGCAGUAAGGAAUAUUGGGCAAUGGAGGAGACUCUGACCCAGCCAUGCCGCGUGGAGGAUGAAGGCCCUCUGGGUUGUAAACUUCUUUUAUAGGGGACGAAACCUGUGUAUUCUUACGCAGUUGACGGUACCCUAGGAAUAAGCACCGGCUAACUCCGUG
rnacentral:rRNA from 1 species